rnacentral:rRNA from 1 species
CGAUACGAGUUUGAUCCUGGCUCAGAACGAACGCUGGCGGCAGGCUUAACACAUGCAAGUCGAACGGGUGUAGCAAUACAUCAGUGGCAGACGGGUGAGUAACACGUGGGAACCUUCCUAGGGGUACGGAACAACUCAGGGAAACUUGAGCUAAUACCGUAUACGUCCGUGAGGAGAAAGAUUUAUCGCCCUUAGACGGGCCCGCGUCGGAUUAGCUAGUUGGUGGGGUAACGGCCUACCAAGGCGACGAUCCGUAGCUGAUCUUAGAGGAUGAUCAGCCACACUGGGACUGAGACACGGCCCAGACUCCUACGGGAGGCAGCAGUGGGGAAUCUUGGACAAUGGGCGCAAGCCUGAUCCAGCCAUGCCGCGUGAGUGAAGAAGGUCUUCGGAUUGUAAAGCUCUUUUGCCAGGGACGAUAAUGACGGUACCUGGAGAAUAAGCCCCGGCAAACUUCGUG